GGUGCAGUGAUUGUUGAGAUUUCGCAAUGACGCGGACGGUUCACGGUUGUUUCGUCGCACCCAACCAUCAGUUUCAAUGUAUCUAUUUUGAUUGCGAGUUGGGUAAGUUACCUCUGUUCUUCACAUGUUCAUACAUGUUUUUUGAUGUUUGGAAGUAGUUCUCUGUUCGAUUAUUCGAUUUUGGGUUAGUUGUUUGUUUUUUCAAUUUUUGGUUUCGGGCUCUACCGUCAGUCACUUUGUUUUAGGGUUGGGGUUGCUUUAUUGUCUAAUUUGGGUCUCAUAUACAUACUCGAUUCCCACCUUCCACCAUGGAUUGCUUGCCACCGUAUCAACAUUGGCUUUCAUGUAUGCUUAUUGUUUCCAUUGUUGAGCACACCAAUGCAGAAAACUUAAAGUUCCAUUAGUGAACUUUGAGAACUAAAAUCAUCAAUGGUGCAACGAGAAUAUUGAAGUGAAAGAUUGAUUAUCCAAAAUAGUGGGUGGUGUCGGUGGAACUGCAAGUAUGAAUUCUAUCCUGGAACUUCCAGUUAUAACAGUUAUAGGUCCUCAAAUUACAAAUUGCAUUCCAUUCCAUCAUGUUAAUUUCUUCUCUAACUCUAAUUCCGUCUACUAAUUUAUUGAAUUUAUGACUACCGAAUCCUUUGUUUGCAGAAGAAUAUGUCAUUGAGGGUAAAGAAAUGCAGAAAUGGCAUUCUUCUGAAAUUCGGCUGUCACCGGUUCUGAUCGUUGCCCAGCUUCUCUACACACCAAUCUUAUUUUCUUAAUUUGAUAAUUUCAAUCUCUUAUCUCCUUUUCAUUUGUUAAUUUUUGCUAACACUUCUACUUUUAUUGUAUAAAAUAAUGAUCUUCAUCCAAUCAACUAUUUAUUUUCCAGUUGUAAUUUCCAUUGUAUGUAGUUGUUGGUACCAUAGCCAAGUGACUUUGUAUGUUAAUUUUGAAUUUGGCAUGGCUUUGACAGGUGGGAUUUGGAAGGGAAACAAUCACCAACUUUGAAGGCAAUACUUAACAAGGAAACAAUAUGCUUCCUUCAACUCAUCACUGUAAUACAACUUUCAUCAACUACAAUCACACUCUGUCAGUUUGUGUUGUUUCUUUUAAAUUUUACAAAGUUUUGCAAUUUCUGACACAAGAAGCGAUUAUGGAUUCAAUUUAAACUUGGGAAUUUCAAAUACUUAUGUUGGUGAAGGUUCAAGUGGAAAUGAAAAUUCAGAACAACCCCAUUUGAAUUACAUCCAUCACGCUUGAAUAUUGCAGCUAUUGCUAUUUGAAAUAAACUUGAGUAAUUGUGUAGGGAGCUACAAUGUCAGAACAAAAUGUUAAUGGUUCUUUAUUUCCCUUUUUAAGGCGAGCAACGCCCAAACGCAUUAUUGUGACGUGGCACAGAAAAACGCUGAUAUAACGCAAGGAACACCGCCCCCGCCCGGCGUUAUUAGGUGUUACGUUGGUGCGCGUUUUCGAGGCAAUGGGAGGCAACGUCUGUUUUCCUCUCUUUUUCCUCUCUGUUUCUCUUCCUCAUGAUGGCGUCUUCUUGGCAGAACAUCACCCCCUCUUUUCCCGUUUUCAUGGCGUUUUUAUUGCUUGGCCUCAAAAAACACAAGUGGGUGUUGCCCACACCUUACACUCUAAGUAUAGGGUACAUAAUAAUUAUUACAUAACGUAUUUUGCUUGUAACGAACCGAAUAAAGUGUGAUGGAUUUAAUUGGUUUUCCGAA